GGUAAUAGCUCAGUUGGUAGAGCAUCAGCUUCCCAAGCUGAGGGUCGCGGGUUCGAGCCCCGUUUACC
rnacentral:tRNA from 1 species